rnacentral:tRNA from 1 species
GGGGAAAUAGUCUAAUUGGUAAAACUACAAUUUUGCGUAUUGUAUUUUCAGGUUCGAGUCCUGAUUUCUCCAC